UAAACUCCUUCUAAAGCUAAAUAUCACCACGAGACCGAUAGCGAACAAGUACCGUGAGGGAAAGUUGAAAAGCACUCUGAAUAGAGAGUCAAAAAGUACGUGAAACUGCCUAGGGCUCAAGCCCGUUGAACUCGAUUAUCCGCGGCGGAGAUAUUCACCUGCGGUUGGCCCUCACCCGGUCCGCCGCAGGGCACUUACCUCCUGCCUCACGAGGACGUUGCGAUCCAUUACGAAACGGUUAGCCAGCGAUGGCUACAGGCCCGGCACCUGCCCCUUGGCAUCUGGUUGCUUGUCCCACAGUAGCGGCGCUCAGUUCGGAAGGCCUGCGCCGCAACCUGGGGCUUACCGGUGCGUGGUGUGCAGCCGGGCGCGUGAUGGAUUCCCGCGUACACCGUCUCGGGAGAGGCUCGCCUCUCCCACCUCCACCAAGGUGACGGACUGUCGAUCGGCAACGAUAAAAUCGAGGUACCUUCGGGA
rnacentral:rRNA from 1 species